UACAUGCUUUCCAAAACAGACGUAAAAUGUCUAAAUAAGUAAACUGUACAAUUUCUAGCCUUGCUUUUACAGCUUAAAGCGUAGUUAGGUUGCACUGCGGCUUAAAUUUCUUUGUGGCACAAGCCAACGAAACCCGACUCCUGUUUUAACAAAUAUGUUCCUCUGUGUCAAAUGAAACAGAUAGCUCAAUAUGUGGCUCCUCUGGGGCUGAGGGAAAAUUACAGCAGUCAUGAACGGGGCUGAAACACUGUAGAUAAGGGAGGGAGGCUCUCCUUCACAUAUGCUGGUUCCUACAGGUGGUUUUAAAGCCUUAUCCUGUAAACAGACUUCGAGGAGGGGAGCUUAACUGUCUUCACACCAGGCACGAUCUUGAAAUAUAAACUGUGGUGCAACAGUUGAGUCUCUUCCAAGACAAACAGACCUUCUUCUAGUCAAAUCAAAAAGAGUGCCCCUGAUUAUUAACCCACCAGAGACAUUCUUCCUUCCUCUGCAGUUCAAAGGAGAUUGAGGCUGACGCCAGAGGCCAGAUCAAUUAUCCGGAGCAGCCAUUUCCACUGUCCUCUCCCACUGACAAGCCAGAAAAUCUGGGCCCUAUCAAAGGCUGGAGAGACCAUCAGCCAGCCAAAUGAGAACAUGCCAAGGAGGAUCAAAAUCACGGCGAUAUCUCCAACCACAUGGUCCUAAAGACUAGAGGAGAGGACACUUCACUCCAUUCAUUCCAAUACUGGUCCAAUCAACGAUCAGUAAGGCAUAGAAGUUCUAAAGAGGAAUAAACAUGAACGAAGCAGACAUGGAUGCUUUAGGCUGGAAUGUGUGUAUAUGUAAGAACUCCCUAUAAAAGGGAGGAAUGUUGCUUUUAAACAAGAACAUUCUCCAGGUCCAGCCUGCGAUGGUGAGCUCGUCUCCAUGCGUGGCUCUGAGGAAGGAGGAUGUUUGGCCAUAGCACACAUAGCUGUCGUGUUCAACAAGACAUUCUGCUGAGUCAUGCUUCCAGCAUUAGAUAGUUAUUUAAUUCUUCUGUGCCUGUAUUUUUAGGGUCGUCCAAUCUACAAUUUGUCUUCCACAACAAUUCAGAGUGCAGAUUCCAUUACAGAUUAACUCAAUAGAUGCCGUGAAAAGAUGCAGAUGUUUGUUAUCUGGCACACUUUGAUGUUUUAGCUCAAAACUAUUUAAAUUCAACCAGACUAAAAAUUCCAUCACGCAUAAACAAAACAAAUUGUUUUGGCAUUAUGAUUAUAUUAAAUAAGUUAAAAAGCAAUCCAAACCAACCUGGCUCUGUGUGAAUCACACUAAAAAAGGUUGAUGGAAACAGCAAAAUUCAAAAUAACUUCUUCAGUUUCAGAAAACAGUUUUCACUUUCACUUGAGGAGGGGUUUUUUAGGUUUUUUUUUGGGCUUUUCAGGACAAGUGUUAUUUUGCUAACGUGGAUAUAGAAAUACAUUUGCUGAAUAAGUUGAGAUGUAGCAAAUAUUUAACCUCACACAACUGAUCAGUUAUUUCUGGCGUCUCCAGACAUAAUGCAACCUUGCCAAUGCUGGUUGAGGUUACAGAAUAACCCAUUCCUGAAAAGCUCUCUCUGUUUUUCUGAGAUGUGUGGUUCAUGCUGGUUUGCAACCACUUCUACUACUUCCUGUUUUUACAGCAUUGCUAAACAUCAACAUCUAACAAGACCCUGAAUGCACAGCCUGGUUGAUUCGCUCCAAACCAGAACAUGGAAAUGUGCUUAAUUCUAAUUUUCUGUUUUUGAGACACGACAUUUGGAUGGAAACAUAACUACUGAUUCAAAGUAAACCAAUAAGUCCAGAAUCUUAGUUUAACAUAAAAUUUAUUUAUUAUUAUUAUUAUAAUAAUAAUAAUAAAAAAAGUAAGAUUUGAAAUGUUAAAAACCAGACUUAAAUUUUGCUCAACAACCUUCCAUCCUGGCCAAAUUACAAUAAUUCUAUAAAGAAGAGUGGAGGUCAGUUUGAACAGCAUUUUUUCCUUAAUGAAAUACAACCCUCAAAUGAAAACUACUGCUGUUUAUAAUCUAUUUUUCCACCCAAAAGACAAAAAAAAAUUUUACAUUGGAUUUAUUGAUUUAUUUUUUUUGCACCACGUGUUUCGAUAACCCCGAAUGACACAGGCUAAAGAGAGGAGUCAAAACAAACAAUAGAGGUGACAGUAAGGGGCAGAGGGAGGAGGCUGAAGGCUGUUUGUAGGACAUUACAGCCCCUCCACCCCAACCGAAAGUCCUCAUGAUCAACCUGCCGAGCCACAGCUUGCUGUUUGGAUGUGGUGUCGAUGUCUGCCAUCACGCAUCACCGCAAGCAGCAUAAACACAAGGAAGAGGACCACACCUGGAUCCAGGCGGGUCUAAGAAUGAAAAAUCACAGUGGGCCACACUCUGCUCCAGACAACAGCAUAGAGACUAAUUGUUUUAUGUAUGAGCUAAACAUUUCAGACAAGCAUGUCUCACAAUGAAGUCAAAGACGAAUGGCUGCUGGUCCAGACACUGGUCCCAGAUUAUGAAAAAAGAAAAAACAACAAAACUCUUCAACAGUAAAACAGAAGGACUCUAGAAGCUUUAAAUAACAAACAGGGCUAGAAAGAAUGUCCUAAAAUAAUAUAAAGAAGGUUCCAUUGGUUAAUGAUUGAAUGGUGGAUAAUAAUUGCACUGACACAAACGGUAGACUCAACCAAGGCCACUUCACAUAGAAACAAGAAUG